rnacentral:tRNA from 1 species
GCCGAUAUAGUGCAGAGGUUAGCAUGCUCCCUUCCCAAGGGAGAGACACCAGUUCGAACCUGGUUAUCGGCA